rnacentral:rRNA from 1 species
GUCAUGGUUAAGUGGGAAACGAUGUGGGAAGGCAUAGACAGCCAGGAUGUUGGCUUAGAAGCAGCCAUCAUUUAAAGAAAGCGUAAUAGCUCACUGGUCUAGUCGGUCUGCACGGAAGAUAUAACGGGGCUAAACCAUGCACCGAAGCUGCGGCAACGACACUUAGUGUUGUUGGGUAGGGGAGCGUUCUGUAAGCCAUUGAAGGUGAUACUGUGAGGUUUGCUGAAGGCAUCAGAAGUGUUAAUGCUGACAUAAGUAACGAUAAAGCGGGUGAAAAGCCCGCUCGCCAGAAGACCAAGGGUUCCUGUCCAACGUUAAUCGGGGCGGGGUGAAUCGAUCCCUAAGGCGAGGCCGAAAGGUGUAGUAGAUGGGAAACAGGUUAAUAUUCCUGUAGUUGGUGUUACUGCGAAGGAGGGGGACGGAGAAGGCUAUGUCAUCCGGGCGACGGUUGACCCGGUUUAAGCGUGCAGGUGGGUAACUUUGGUAAAUCCGGGUUGCUAUUAAACACUGAGGCGUGAUGACAAGGUACUACGGUACUGAAGUGACAGAUGCCCAGCUGCUAGGAAAAGCCUCUAAGCAUCAGGUAACAUUAAAUCGCACCCCAAACCGACACAGGUGGUCAGGUAGAGAAUACCAAGGCGCUUGAGAGAACUUAGGUGAAGGAACUAGGCAAAAUGGUGCCGUAACUUCGGGAGAAGGCACGCUGUGCGAGGUGUAGGGACUUGCUCCUGAAGCUUUGCGCAGUCGCAGAUAC